rnacentral:rRNA from 1 species
AGAGUUUGAUCAUGGCUCAGGAUGAACGCUGGCGGCGUGUCUAGGGCAUGCAAGUCGAAAGUUCACCUUCGGGUGGGCUUGGCAAACGGGAGCGUAACACAUUGGUAAUCUGCCCUGAAGACGGAGAUAAUCCCGCGAAAGCGGGAAUAAUAUCCGAUAAAAGUGGGGGGACAUAAGUCAUUCCCACUUAAAGUUCCGCUUGCCUACCGGCAAGCAGGGCGCUUCAGGAGAGGCCUAUGUCCUAUCAGUUAGUUGGUGAGGUAAUGGCUCACCAAGGCGAUGACAGGUACCGGGUGUGAGAGCAUGACCCGGCUCACUGGGACUGAGACACUGCCCAGACUCCUACGGGAGGCUGCAGUCAAGAAUCUUCCCCAAUGCGCGCAAGCGUGAGGGAGCGACGCCGCGUGGUUGAUGACGCCCUUCGGGGUGUAAAGACCUUUUAUCAGGGACGAACUAACGACGGUACCUGAUGAAUAAGGGGCUGCUAAACUCGUGCCAGCAGCAGCGGUAAUACGAGUGCCCCAAGCGUUAUCCGGAUUUAUUGGGCGUAAAGCGUCUGCAGGUGGUGUAAUGCGUCUUUUCGUUAAAUCUCACGGGCUCAACCCUGAGACCGCGGAGGAUACGGUUACACUUGAGGCCGGAAGAGGCGAGCGGAAUUGCUGGUGUAGGGGUUAAAUCCAUUAAUAUCAGCAAGAACACCAAAUGCGAAAGCAGCUCGCUGGGACGUGCCUGACACUCAGAGACGAAAGCGUGGGGAGCGAANGGGAUUAGAUACCCCCGUAGUCCACGCCGUAAACGAUGGAUGCUAAGCAUUGGCAGUUUCGACCCUGUCAGUGCUGUUUACCUAAGCUAACGCGUUAAGCAUCCCGCCUGGGGAGUA